rnacentral:lncRNA from 13 species
AUGCCCACGCGCGUGGGGCCCCGGGCCUCAGGAAGCCCCACCGGGCGGUCCCUCAGAGCUCGGCCUCUCCUGGGGGGAAGGAGGAAGCCCGCCCCGCGCCUGGCUGCAACCGCAGCCGCCCCCGUCCGCUUCCGGCUGCGCCGCCCUCCGCGCUGCGCUCCGGGCCAGGCAGCCGCCCCGCCCCGCUGGGCGCGUUCCCGGGGUCUCAGUGGCAGGAGCCGCCCUCUCGUGGGACCUGGGGGCACGUGGCCCGGGGAGGGGGCGCGGGCACCGCCUGGCCAAGGACACCCCGGCCCCACCGCGCCCCUUCCCCGGCGCGUCCUCGCUGGCCGAGGGUGGGACUUCGGUUCCGCAGGACCCGAGCCCGCUCGUCCUCCUCGGAAGCCCGGGACCCCCGCCCCGCAGAGGAGGGCGGCGCUGCCCUCGCCUCCCACGUGGACAGCGCCGCCCGCAGGCGCCCGCGAAGGGGCACGAGGGGCCUGCAGGGGGGGAAUCGGGGGGCCGGGGCGGGGCGCGGCCGGGGUGGGGGGGGUGGGGGCCGAAGGGCGGGCACCUGCGGGCCGGGCGGGGCCUGAAGGAGCGAAGGCGGCCGACGGGGGCGGGGCCCACACGAGCGGGGCGGCGUGGGGGCGGGGCCUGUGCGAGAGGGGCGGGGUCGGGGCGGGGCGCGCGGGCGCCCGCGGCGGAGCUCACUUCCUCUGGCGAGCGCAGCCGGGCGGAAGUGCGUCAGUUGUUAUCUGUUCGGGGCGCCGCCACCGCCGCCUCACGAGCCCGGUGCCCAGAAGCCCGGCCGCCCGCCCGCCCGCCACCCGCCGCCCGCCCCGCUUGCCCGGCCCGAUCACCGCGCCGCGCGCAUGGGGCACGCCCCCGGGGGGGCGGCCGAGGGCCGCUGAGCGCCGGGCCCGCCCCCGCCGAUGCUCCCAGCCGCCAGCGCCGGGGUUCCCAGGCCGCGCCGGGCCCGGGGCUGAGCCGCCCCCUGCGCCCGGCAUGCCCGGCCCGGCCCGCCGCCCGCCGCCGCCCAGGGCCCGAGCCCGCGCGGCGCAUACUCAGCCCGGCGGCGCCGCAUAG